GCUCCAUUGAGCCUCGGGCAUGGGGAGGAGCUGGCUGGCUGGGGCUGCAGGAGCCCUGCUGCUGUUGGGCUGCAUUGAAGGUGAUUUUCCCCCACCAGCUCUCCUACCAAACAUCUCCUCAGCUCAGGAAGGCAAUCUGGUGCUCGCCCGCUGCCUGGUUUUCUCCCAUCUCCCCAUCACCCACAUCUUCUUCUGCAAGAACGGAGUGGUGCUGGAGAACCACCCCGUGGGUCCCAAGGAAUUCACAGCCACACUCACCAUCCGGCUUUCUGCGGAGAGCAGUGGCACCUACUCCUGUGGGUACCGACGGCAAAGCAACGUUGGGCACAUCAAGAUCUCAAGUUUGAGCAUCCCAUGGCUCCUGACCAUCGAAGGUAGGAAGGGGGAGCUGAGGAACAGCAGCAGCACCGCCACCACCACCCCAGAGCUGCCAGCUGAAGGGCUGGGAAUCUCACUCAGCCUGGCCCUCGUGUUCAUCUCCCUCCUGGCUCUGGCUUUGAGCAUCCACUUCUUCCUGCAGAUAGGAAAGCGAGUCCAGCUGGCCAGCUUGAAGCAUUUCGUUCAUCCCCCAGUGGAAGAGCCCAGCGUUUCACAGAGGAAGAGUCCUCCAGGAUCUCUUGCAUCUGGAUGACUUCUUGUUGGACCACAGACGUGCUCUUGGAUGUGAAUAUUGCAGCCCUCAAUGGACAUAGCAGGGGGAAUUGGCCCAAGACAGAAUCCCUUAGGCUCAACACCAGCUGCUCUGCAUAGGCAAGAACCAACAGCACCUCUCCAGAUGUUCCAGUGCCAUAGCAACAGCUCUUGGACGUGGAAGUCCAUCAAUUAAUUAAAAAGUUGAUUUCCUCUCUUAAAAUCAACCCUUUUCCUUCGUCUCUGAAGAUUUCCUAGCUGCUCAAUUUCCCACUAGGUUUGAACUUCAGUCCCGGGUGAGUCUCAGCCUCAGAGAGGUAUGGUUGAUAACCAUCCUGGUGGCCAUCAAGAUAUCUUUGUUGCCCAAAGUAGCACCAGGUCCCUUUGCCAACAUCACCCAACUGUUAAGGAGUGUAAAUCCGAUGGGUCUUCCCAUCCAGGUCUUCCCACACUGCCCACCAAAGGCAGUGACUCACCUGAGUGAAUCCAAACUAGCAGAUGGGACCCAAUGGUGAAACCAUUGCCAUUCAGCCCUUUGGAGAUUUCCUCCUUGGCCAUGGUCCUGAGCUGCUGUUAUGACACAGG
ensembl:lncRNA